UACCGUGAAACUGCGAAUGGCUCAUUAAAUCAGUUAUCGUUUAUUUGAUAGUACCUUACUACUUGGAUAACCGUGGUAAUUCUAGAGCUAAUACAUGCUAAAAACCCCGACUUCGGGAGGGGUGUAUUUAUUAGAUAAAAAACCAACGCCCUUCGGGGCUCCUUGGUGAAUCAUAAUAACUUAACGGAUCGCAUGGCCUUGCGCCGGCGACGGUUCAUUCAAAUUUCUGCCCUAUCAACUUUCGAUUGUAGGGUAUUGGCCUACAAUGGUAUCAACGGGUAACGGGGAAUUAGGGUUCGAUUCCGGAGAGGGAGCCUGAGAAACGGCUACCACAUCCAAGGAAGGCAGCAGGCGCGCAAAUUACCCAAUCCCGACACGGGGAGGUAGUGACAAUAAAUACUGAUACAGGGCUCUUUUGGGUCUUGUAAUUGGAAUGAGUACAAUUUAAAUCCCUUAACGAGGAACAAUUGGAGGGCAAGUCUGGUGCCAGCAGCCGCGGUAAUUCCAGCUCCAAUAGCGUAUAUUAAAGUUGUUGCAGUUAAAAAGCUCGUAGUUGAACCUUGGGCCUGGCUGGCCGGUCCGCCUCACCGCGUGCACUGGUCCGGCCGGGCCUUUCCUUCUGGAGAGCCGCAUGCCCUUCACUGGGUGUGUCGGGGAACCAGGACUUUUACUUUGAAAAAAUUAGAGUGUUCAAAGCAGGCCUUUGCUCGAAUACAUUAGCAUGGAAUAAUAGAAUAGGACGUGCGGUUCUAUUUUGUUGGUUUCUAGGACCGCCGU
rnacentral:rRNA from 1 species